rnacentral:misc_RNA from 1 species
GAUGAAGAACGUAGCGAAAUGCGAUACUUGGUGUGAAUUGCAGAAUCCCGUGAACCAUCGAGUCUUUGAACGCAAGUUGCGCCCGAAGCCAUUAGGCCGAGGGCACGCCUGCCUGGGCGUCACACGUCGUUGCCCCCCCAUCUACUCCUUCGGGAUUGCGGGGGGCGGAUGAUGGCCUCCCGUGCGCCUCGUCGCGCGGUUGGCAUAAAUGCCAAGUCCUCGGCGACGCACGCCACGACAAUCGGUGGUUGCGAAACCUCGGUUGCCCGUCGUGUGCGGUCGUCGCGCAUCGAGGGCUCGAAAAAAUUGCCGGGCUCCGGCUCGGCUUUCAACGCGACCCCAGGUCAGGCGGGGUUACCCGCUGAAUUUAAGCAUAUAAAUAAGCGGAGGA